UACGUAGGGGGCAAGCGUUGUCCGGAUUUAUUGGGCGUAAAGAGCGUGUAGGCGGUCAGGUAGGUCCGUUGUGAAAACUCGAGGCUCAACCUCGAGACGCCGAUGGAAACCAUCUGACUAGAGUCCGGAAGAGGAGAGUGGAAUUCCUGGUGUAGCGGUGAAAUGCGUAGAUAUUGGGAGGAACACCAGUGGCGAAGGCGGCUCGCUGGACCGGUUCUGACGCUGAGGCGCGAAAGCGUGGGGAGCAAACGGG
rnacentral:rRNA from 1 species